rnacentral:lncRNA from 1 species
UUUGUCUGAUAUAAGAAUAGUUGUUCCUGCUUGCUUUUGGUGUCCAUUUGCAUGGAAUAUCUUUUUCCACCCCCUUUGCCUUAAGUUUAUAUGAGUCCUUGGAAAUCACUUAAAACAACUCCAUUCAAAUUUUUUUCUAGUUUUUAAUUUUUAUUUUUUAAUUCUGGAACAGUAGAUAAAAUUCUGUCAAGACUAAUCAAAUGUUUUGCUGCAGUGCUAGUCUAUUAAACCUUCGCAUUUAUGUCAUUAUACUGUAAAAUAGAAUUUAUGGUACUUUUUAAUGUUUCAUUUUUCUCUUUUUAUAGUUUUUUGUAGAGCAAAGUAACAUUGGAGAUAAUUUUUUAUAUUAGCUUUGCUACUGAUACAAAUGAUAGACGCACACUCCUGAUAGAAGUAGGGCAUGAAUACUUGAUUAGUCUUUAACAGUGAUGGUUACAGGGAUAGUAUAUCGCAGUUACAGUUAAUCCCUGACCACUGAGUUGUUUAAGUAGGCAUUUAGGAUUCUUGUGAUUGAUGAAAUAAACUAAAAUAGUCUUGUCUUUAAGGAGAUGUAGCUUGAAUGAGGAUAAUGAAACCAUAGUAAUGUAGAUAAACCUUACUGACAUUUUGUGCUUUCAAAGGGAAAUGGGAUCUUAAACUGCUUUGGCUAAAAUUUCAAAAUGAAUUGUAGCCACAAUUCUGAAAUUAUGGGUCUCUGUCCCUAAAAAAUUCUUUUAAAGAAUUUAACAUCUACUUCUGCAAAAUGUCAAUAAUACCAUUUACCUCUUUUUUUCAGGGACGUAGUGAGGAGUACCUCUUUGAAAAUGGCAAAUGUUAUCUGUUAGACUGUUGCAUCUCAUCACUGGAAGAUAUUUUUUCACUAAACAGUCAUAGAGAAAAUGGUUAUCAUUGAUCUUAAAAUGGAUUGAUCACAAUCCUCACUGGACUAAAAUUGUUGGGAAUUAAAGUACAGAUCUUAUUUGAUUGUGAGCAGAAGAAACUUAAAAGCUUUGACUUUUCAAUUUAGAAGUUUGGAGAUUUAAGGGGGAGUUAAAUGAUACAUGUCUGUAGAGUUAUUUUAUGCUACUUUUCUUUAACAUGCCUCAGCAUUAAAAUGUCCUUAAGAAUAUUGCAUCAUAUCAUUAAGAGUCUGACUAUGGAAGGAAUGCGACCGUAUUACAUUCAGUAAAAUGACCAAAGCAAAAUUGAAGUGCCAGAAGAGAAAUAAGACCUUUGAAUUAUCCAUAGAUAGAAGAGCUUUAACUUUGCAGGGACAUGGAUGAAGCUGGAAACCAUCAUUCUCAGCAAACUAUCACAAGGACAGAAAACCAAACACCACAUGUUCUCACCCAUGCUCUAACUUGAGCUUUAUACCUUUAUUACCCCACUGCAUAUGCCAUGUAUAGUGGCUAGCUGGUAUCCCACCCUCAUGUGAGAAGGGCUAAAUGAAGAGAUGCUGAGCCCCUUCAAAGUGAGUGCUCUACUCUGUUGCAUUGCCCAAAGAUUAGAUUUCUUGACAUUUACCUUAAAACCCUGAACAGUUUGUGCUCGAGAGCUCUGCUAUUUGCUAAACUACUUUAGCAAACAGCAUGCUGUGAAGCAAGACCCCACCAGAGCCCUUUCUGCAAUAUCUUUUAAUUUUGGUUUUCCUAUAUGCCCACGUGUGGUUUUAUAUUAUAGACCAAUGGAAAAAAAAUAAUUUGAUGUGAGUAAUGUUGCUUUUUCCUCCAAUUUUUCACUGCUUUAAAAAAUAAUUGAGGAGAGCCUUUAAUACCUCUUUGAAAAUAAUUAUGAAGGUUUUUUACUAUUUGGAAGAUCAUAGAAUCCACCAUAUAGUAAUUUUUAAAUAUUUUAAAUUGGAUGUUUAACUUUAAAUUAGAAAAAACAACAUUAUUGAAAGCUUUUCUUUAAUAGAAAAAUUGCUUUGAUUUUUAUUUCAUAAUUGAUUUAAAAUAUUAGUUACAUGAAUUAUUAUUUACAACUUGCAUAGUAAUUUUCAUACAUCUCCAUAAUAAAAAUUCACUCUGUAAUCUCUUCUAUAAAAAGAAGUAAACAGCACCUGCCAGAGCACUGUAGCAACGAGAGCCAUCAAGUGUGUAUUCACUUCGUUAUUCAAAACAGCAGUGAAAGAGUUAAUAAAAGCUGAAUACAUUACAGGAUUACAAAGAUUUUUAUUUAUUAGGGGAUAGGGAGGGUAUGGUAUAUAUGGGAUGAAACAUUAAUAACCUCUCUAUUCUGCAAGACUGACCUAUUGCUUUGGAACUACUCUUUUAGCCCCACAGAGACUGUGAAACAGUGUUUUGGUGGUCUAUAGGAAAGGUUCAACUUGGCAAAUGUAGUGGUAAGUGAUGUCACUGAAUGCAUACCAUAUGUAUUGAGAGUCAGUGAAUGCUAUUCUCUCUGCUGCGCACAGGCAUGUGUAAGUGUUGGAAUGGAAAAAUCAUUUUUAUGAAAAUAUAGAGAAGUAAAACAAGAAUGUUCUGUCCUGAGCCUGAUCAGAUCACCAGUAGCUGCCAAGAGUGAACACUCCGUGUAAGGUUUUCUCUUCUUAAUUCUCCAGCUUCCGGCCUUUUGUUGGCUCUCAAAAGUAGUCUAUUCAGAAGGCCUUAUUCAGCAUGUUCUUUCUUGAUAUGAUAUGAACACCAAAUGAAAGUUCCAUUUUCUCCAUUAAAGUAAAGCUGGGAGAAUAUUUUAGUGUGCAUGGUUUGCAGCAGAUGGAAAUGAUUAAUUGAUUUAGCUAACUUGCCAAAUUGUUCUCUUUCCCAGUAGAGUUGGGUUUUAUCAGAGAGACUCGUACUGCUAAUCAUUGUAACACUUACUAAUAUAUCAGAAAGAAUAUAAUUGUUGUGUUUUAAUUAUUCUCAUUACUAUUAUUUAAGACAUGCUCUAAUGCUACACUAAUAGAUAUGGCAAAUAAAUAAGGCAAUUGAUUCCUGUUAGAAAUUUAUGACAUAUAAGAUAGAGUAGAAGAAUACAUGGAGAUAUAAAAAGGUGAAGUAGCCAGUUAUUUUACUCUUAAAUUUUUAUUAGCAAAUCAGUGUCCUUACUAAAAAUCAAAUGGUAUUUUCUUAAGCUUGAAUAGAUGCUAUCUUAAAUCUUAAUCUCUUUUGUAUUUUGUACAAAGACUGCCUGUUAUAACAGUAUGAUUUUAAGUAAUUUUUUAAAAAUAAAAGCAAUAUUUGCCCUUCAUAAUAGGACAUUAGAAAUACAAAUAUAAAUAAUAAAC